AGUGGCGAACGGGUGAGUAAUGCAUCGGAACAUGCCCAGUCAUGGGGGAUAACUACGCGAAAGCGUAGCUAAUACCGCAUACGCCCUGAGGGGGAAAGUGGGGGAUCUUAGGACCUCACGUGAUUGGAGUGGCCGAUGUCAGAUUAGCUAGUUGGUGGGGUAAAGGCUCACCAAGGCGACGAUCUGUAGCGGGUCUGAGAGGAUGAUCCGCCACACUGGGACUGAGACACGGCCCAGACUCCUACGGGAGGCAGCAGUGGGGAAUUUUGGACAAUGGGCGCAAGCCUGAUCCAGCCAUGCCGCGUGAGUGAAGAAGGCCUUCGGGUUGUAAAGCUCUUUCGCAAGGGAAGAAAACGGCAAGGCUAAUAUCCUUGUCGGAUGACGGUACCUUGACAAGAAGCACCGGCUAACUACGUGCCAGCAGCCGCGGUAAUACGUAGGGUGCGAGCGUUAAUCGGAAUUACUGGGCGUAAAGCGUGCGCAGGCGGUUUUGUAAGACAGAUGUGAAAUCCCCGGGCUUAACCUGGGAACUGCGUUUGUGACUGCAAGGCUAGAGUACGGCAGAGGGGGGUGGAAUUCCACGUGUAGCAGUGAAAUGCGUAGAUAUGUGGAGGAACACCGAUGGCGAAGGCAGCCCCCUGGGCCUGUACUGACGCUCAUGCACGAAAGC
rnacentral:rRNA from 1 species